rnacentral:rRNA from 1 species
UACGGAGGUGGCAAGCGUUGUUCGGAUUUACUGGGCGUAAAGGGCGCGUAGGCGGCGCGGUAAGUCACUUGUGAAAUCUCUGAGCUUAACUCAGAACGGCCAAGUGAUACUGCAGUGCUAGAGUGUGGAAGGGGCAAUCGGAAUUCUUGGUGUAGCGGUGAAAUGCGUAGAUAUCAAGAGGAACACCUGAGGUGAAGACGGGUUGCUGGGCCAACACUGACGCUGAGGCGCGAAAGCCAGGGGAGCAAACGGG